UUCAUGUAGCUCAGUUGGUAGAGCAUGAGACUCCUGAUCUUGGGAUUGUGGAUUUGAGCCCCACAUUGGGCAAAA